rnacentral:rRNA from 1 species
UACGUAGGGGGCUAGCGUUGUCCGGAAUCAUUGGGCGUAAAGCGCGCGUAGGUGGUCCCGUAAGUCCGCUGUGAAAGUCAAAGGCUCAACCUUUGAAAGCCGGUGGAUACUGUGGGACUAGAGUACGGAAGAGGCGAGUGGAAUUCCUGGUGUAGCGGUGGAAUGCGCAGAUAUCAGGAGGAACACCAAUAGCGAAGGCAGCUCGCUGGGACGUUACUGACACUGAGGCGCGAAAGCGUGGGGAGCGAACAGG